GAAAUGCGAUAAGUAAUGUGAAUUGCAGAAUUCAGUGAAUCAUCGAAUCUUUGAACGCACAUUGCGCUCCUUGGUAUUCCUUGGAGCAUGCCUGUUUGAGUAUCAUGAAAUCUUCAAAGUAAAUCUUUUGUUAACUCAAUUGGUUUCUACUUUGGUAUUGGAGGUCUUUGCAGCUUCACACCUGCUCCUCUUUGUUCAUUAGCUGGAUCUCAGUGUUAUGCUUGGUUCCACUCGGCGUGAUAAGUUAUCUAUCGCUGAGGACACUGUAAAAGGUGGCCAAGGUAAAUGCAGAUGAACCGCUUCUAAUAGUCCAUUUACUUGAACAAUACUUUUAUGAUCUGAUCUCAAAUCAGGUAGGACUACCCGCUGAACUUAAGU
rnacentral:misc_RNA from 1 species